AGUAAUCCACAGGUGAACCAAUCAGAAAAAAAUGUUUGUCUUUGUCUGAUCUGCUGACCAAACCAGAGAGAGUGUUCAGUAUCAGACAGCUCACUUGUCACUGGUCACUGGUCACAGGUUACCUGUGAUGAUCCAAAUUUGUUUACAGGCAGCACCAUGGAAACCCCAGGAUUCUACUAGGUGCUGGUAGGCUGGGAGGGAGAAUGAUGUCAUAAAUCAAGCAGUAGCCAAUUGGAAGGUCAUAUUCUGAGCUCCAAGACAGGAUUGGGUGGAGAAGAUGCAUGCCAGAAGACCAGCUUCAUCCAUGAAGCCUGAGCUUUGAUCCUUGGACCAGCUUGAUCCUGCAUUCUUACAUUAGUGGGUGAUAGCACUGAACUUCCAGAAGCAGUGGUCUUCAUUUCAUCUGGCAAAUGCUUGUAAAGUGGGUUCUGCCCUUAUAAGUAAAGAACAGAGGAGUGAAAGGUUGGCUUGGAGUACUCGGAGACAGCACUGCUUGACAGAAGAUACCCUGCUAUCCUAAUGUCCUCAAAAGUACAACGCCCAAGAGUAUGAACUUCCUGGAGCUGCUUUGCACUUGAUGCAAUCCUGGUCUCAGUAGAGAGGCCUUGCAAGUGGAGCUGGA
rnacentral:lncRNA from 1 species